CAGUAGCCGCGGGAAUACAGAGGGUGCGAGCGUUAAUCGGAUUUACUGGGCGUAAAGCGUGCGUAGGCGGCUAAUUGAGUCGGAUGUGAAAUCCCUGAGCUUAACUUAGGAAUUGCAUUCGAUACUGGGAAGCUAGAGUAUGGGAGAGGAUGGUAGAAUUCCAGGUGUAGCGGUGAAAUGCGUAGAGAUCUGGAGGAAUACCGAUGGCGAAGGCAGCCAUCUGGCCUAAUACUGACGCUGAGGUACGAAAGCAUGGGGAGCAAACAGGAUUAGAUACCCGGGUAGUCCCUGUCUCUUAUAC
rnacentral:rRNA from 1 species